GCUCACCUCUGUUCCACUCCCAUCUCAUAAAGGGUGUGACAGAUACUUCACAGAAGGCAAGGAGAAAACAGGUCAGAAGUAUGUUAUUGGGGGCUUAGCACUGAUUUUGGUUCUGACAAGCUGGCCACUCAGAGACAGCAGUAGCUAUGUCUGUCUCAGUAUGUGGUAGACCAUGCUGUUGGGCCCAUAUAUAUAUAGCCUCCAUGCCUGCCACUGGGGCUACUUCAUUCACGUACCCACUGUGUCAGUUCUGGGAUGACUAAAAUCAACUGGGUCAUCAUGAGUGAAGUCUUGAGCCACUGAGCCACUACCACCUUGUGCCAAAUACUAUCUGUGCCCUGCCUGCCAACCAGGAUGACAACCCUUCACCUGCCAGGUGGAGAGAGACAGCAGCAGGCUAACUAGUUGUCUGUUAAGAACAUCCAGAGCAGGACCAGAAUCUGGGCCAGGAACUGAGAGACAGAUUGGGACAACGGAACAAAUCUACCAGGGUAUGCUGGCCAACUUAGUCUUCUAUUAUGAUCAAGGAAGGAUGGCGCCUGAGAGGUCAUUACUAUGUGACUGGUCUUCAUAUAUUGCUUCUAUGUUUGAUUCUUCCUCCAGAAAUGUUUCAAUAGCAAACUCAAUGAGUUUACGUAGCCAGAAUCUUAGUCAAUAACCUACUCUGCAGUAUCUUAGGGCUGACUUUGUACAUAUGGAAGUCAGCCAGAUCUCAUGAGUGGAUCAUUAAGCUAGAAUUAUUUUCUUGGCACACGUUACAGUAAGGUAAUAUAUGACCUAGGCCUAAGGCAGGCCAUCAACCUGUCAAGAGUAAUGACCCCCAGGGGUAAGGCCUUGCUGUCUCCACCUCAAGGAUGGGUCUUCAAAGUGGAGACAAUAUAGUCCCUAUGGUUUCUACAUGCUUAAUGAGUCUGUUAUGUGAAUUAUAAAGAUAAUAUCUAUGGGGACUUUGAGCUCCUACAAUAAAAAUGUAUAAAUAUAAUCCAAGAAAUUCUGGUAGACAAACAUUGUAAUAAUGCAUAUCAGUCUUUGUAUCUCCAUUUAGUUUUUUUAAAACUUGGCUUGUGUCCAGAAGUAUGCACAGAUAUACAUAGCAAAUGCUCAGUGCUGAAUGUUUAGCUAAAUCCUGUGCUUCAAAGCAAGGAUGAAUAGAUUUUCAUCAGAGCUCAGGACCUGAACUGUAGGCUUCCCUCACAAUGAGAAGUAAAGCUAAGUAUAGGUGAAUCCUGAGUGGCACAUAUUCUAUGAGAGUUUUAUACAUAAUUUGAAUGAUUGAUAUGCUGCAUCUUUCAUUGAAAUGAUUGUCAACCAAUAUUAUUUCAAGUGUUAUUUCCAUGCUAUUUCUAGUUCUGUAUGUUUUACGUAAUUAUAAAUGGCUUCAUAUUUUCAUGUAACAUUGUAUGAUAUGAUUUGGGUUCUAACAGGUUAUCCUUGACACCAGUAUAGAAUACCCAGAAUUAAUUUAAGGUAUAUUAUCAAACCACUAAAAUUAGGAUGUCCAUGAAUUCUGAAGGAGAAAAUAUCAUUUAGAUUGUGUGUGUGUGUGUGUGUGUGUGCGCGUGUGUGUGUGUCCUCUAAGUUUUAAACAUGAGGUGGUUAUAUAAAGGGGACUUCUAAAUUGGGAGAGGAUGAAAAUGGGCUAAAUAUUUCAAACAAACUUCAGUGUGAAAUCAGUAGUAUAUUCAGUAGAGGUGACAGGGAAAAAAGCUGUGGAGGAGAAAAGAGAACAAGAAAAUCAGGAAGCAGUAAAAAUGAUGACUGAGGUCAGGUGGUAAUGGUAACAUCAAGAAACUUGAAUCUGAUGGAAAAAAACCACGGGUAGCUAUAAAAGGGGCAUUCGAAAUAGGAAAUGAUGUGAGAGGAGAAGAUAAUUUUAGUAUAGUUAAAGGAGGUAGCAGCUAUAGGUGUGAAGAGAACGGAUUAAUUUUAAAUGUGUCCCAGAAGUAAGAGAAAUAUUUUUUUGAGGAGUGGGGGAGGAACAAUGAGAUAAACCUGGUUGAGUGUUUUAUGGUUAUCUCAAGUAAGAGUCCACUUGGAGUAUUAUGUCCAUUUUUGGACACCAUACUUUCAUAGGCAUGUUGAUGAACCAGGUCAUUCAAGACACCAGGGUAGUGAGAAGUGUGUUAAUAGUGCUUCUACCAGAGAGUUAGAGUGACAUGGCAGCUGUCCUCAUAUCUAUCGAUCUGUCAUAAGGAAGAAAGAUCACAUGCCUCUGCAUUGUUUAAAAGAAAGAAACAGACCCAAAGAAAGUCAGGAGGCAGAUUUUGCUCAAUAUAAUGAUCUAACAAUUAGAUGUGCCCUGUAACAGAGUGCGCUAUUGUAAAGUAAUGUUCUCCCAUCUUUCCAAGUAUUCAAGCAGAGAAUAGUCAAUAAUACAACUAACGACUGGAAGGGUUUCUUUUAUUCUAAGGUACUAUCAGAUGGAGGAACAUGUAGUUUGUGGUCAGUGACCUCAGGUUCUCACAUUCACGGUGCUGCAUCCUGGUUUUCAUUUGGGGACUGUUUUCUGGCACUCCCGCCUGUCUGGAGGUGAGAUAUGCUUGUUAUGACAACCCUUCUGUCACAAUAAAUUGGCUGGUGCAUUCAGUGUCAUCUAUGGCUUUUUACUUCUAUUAAUUCAUUAAUUCCGGGCCCCCAAGCGAAAGUUUCCAAAGGCCUUUUUUCUUCUUUGUUAAUUAUAACAUGAUAUCAAUCAGCACCCAAGCAGAAACUAGAAGAGUAUUCAAACUAGGUAAUUUGAGGAGAGUUUAAUAAAGCAACAGCUUACAAAGAUGUGGACAGUGGCUUAAGGAAGCCACUAAAGGAUGGCACAGUCCUCCAGGCUUGUGAUCAGGGGAGUCAUUACCAUCCCCCAGCCUGAAGAUCAAGAGGCUGGAGCUAUUUCCAGACCCUGAAGAGGGUGGUUGUAUGGAGAGGACUAUCUGAAAGAAGAGGCUGUAGCCAACACAAGAAAGCCAGGGAAUAAAUAAUCCAUCCUCACUCUCCUGCUGUUGCCUCUCAAUGGCCAAACCCAACCAUGAGCUGGGCAUGAAGGGAGCUAGCUGACAGCUAUAUGGCUCAGCUUCCUGGGGCCCAGAGCAGAGUGGAGCUGAGAAGAGAGUGAAUCUGGAGGGGUUAAUGGAAGAAACCACAGAAAGCAAAUUCCUCCCUGAGAUACAGUUGGUGCUUAGGCAAUAUUUGUACUGACAGGAAUGUGGCCACAUAUUUUGGAAAAGCUCAGGGACUCAAUCCUCUGCUAGCUGCUUUGAGGCCAUGUCUGCCGAAGUCACUGUCCUCUACAGGGUUUUUUCCUCAUGUUCAGUGUUUAGUCCUUUCCACCUUCACGAAAACGAUGCCUACUUAAUAUACAGAAAGGAGGACAUACAGAAAUUUUUCAUCUUAAUUGGAUAUUACAGUUGCCCCACUUUGGAGCCAAGAAGAGCUGAAUAAAGCUGAGAAACACCUAAACAGAAAGGAGCUCUGGAGGGAAGCAUUAGAUAUGGCUCUUAACCUCAGGGGGCUUACAGUCCAAUCAGGAGACCCAAUGCAAAUGGAACAAUGAAUCAAGAUACUAUCUAACAGGACUAGACCAUGCCACCCAGUCAUUGGAACUUGGAUGUAAGUGGCUUCUACAACCAAGUGAGGCAGAGAAAUGGGCAGCAGUGAUGACUCUAUAAAGACUUUUGUCCUUUCAUUCAUUCAAGGUGGUGUACAACCCAAAGAUGAACACAUGACCCUUGUCCUCAAGCAGCUCAAUCUGUGAAAACUAUCAUAUGAGUUAAUGUGGUAACAGAAGCAUGCGCACAAAGUACUCUGGAACAACAGGCAGGGACCAUUUAGACCUGCUGCAGUGUGUGUGUCUGUGUCUGUUUAUCUAUGUAUUAUAUGCAGGCAGAUUGUGAAAAAAGACAAGUUUCACAGAGGAGAUGAUACAUGAUCUUUUCUAAUUCACUGAAGCAUACAGCUAUCAAAGGCCUGAGGACUCUUGAAAGAUGAGCAAAAUUUCAUCAUGCAGAGAAGGGAAGUGUAAAGACAGGAAACAGCAUGUGAAAGGCAUUCUAUUCUAUUUAAAUCUAGGAAUACUGUCUUUAGGAUGUUCUUGGCUGAUUAAAUCAGAUGCAUCAUCAUAUUAUACUAUCAUGAUUUACCAAUACUGGUUAUUGCCUAGAUUUUAUCCAUGGACUCUCCAUUGGCAUCAUUAGUGAUGAGAGCUGGAAGCUUGAGCACACCCUGCCAUAAAGUUGUUUGUAACAGAAGACAUAGUUUGUACUUUGUUUUCUCUGUUUCAGUUUUGGUUUCCACCUCUAAUUUGAUAUAUACCAGUUAUUAAUCUGGUUGAUUUGCUACAAAUGAAAAGUUUAAAAAAUUAAUGACAAUCUAUACAAAACUCACAUAAAACCAUUUGAGUCUCCCACUAGAUGGCACAGGAAGAAUAUGGCAUAUCACCUAAUUCUCAGGCUAGGCUAGAUAGAAAAUGUCUAUUCCUAUGAUCACAUGACUCUGACUACUUUCUCUUAAAAGUAAAUAUAAAUAACAUCUCUGUAAUUUUAUUUUUUCUUUAACAAUAAUUUAUCUUAAAGUAGACAGAAAAAUGCAUGUGGUUUAAAAUUCAUAGUAAAUAGGAGAAUAUUAUAAAAGUUUCUUAAGGCCAGGUGCAGUGGCUCAUGCCUGUAAUCUCAGCACUUUGGGGGUCCGAGGCAGGCGGACCAUGAGGUCAGGAGAUUGAGACCAUCCUGGGCAACAUGGUGAAACCUUGUCUCUACUAAAACUACAAAAAUUAGCUGGGCGUGGUAUGCUCCUGUAGUCCCAGCUACUUGGGAGGCUGAGGGAGGAGAAUCGCUUGAACCCGGGAGGUGGAGGUUGCAGUGAGCCGAGGUCGUGCCACUGCACUCCAGCCUGGCAACAGAGUGAGACUCUGUCUCAAAAAAAAAAGUUUCUCAAACCAUUUUUAACAGAUUAAAACAAUUCUUUUUUUAUCAAACUAUUUUUUUCAUUAAUUCUUAGUAGUCAAUAGUUCUGUUAUUGUGACCCUGGAAGACAAGGCACUGUCAUCUGUCUCCUACAGAUUUUAGAGCAAUUAAAAGUGAAGCAAUCCAUAUUCAUUGAUUAAGAGGGAACUAUCAUGUAACCUGGGUAAGUCAGUCCAUAUCACUUUAAGAACGCUAAACAGUAUUGCUCAAGGUUAAAAAAAAAAAAAAAGGAGAGAGAGAGAGAUCUAACACCAUUCUUUAACGCCUGGCCACUAAACUAAUGACCAUCAAUGACAGAACCUGCUUAAUCCCCAUAUAAUUAUCCAAUAUAUUGAAUCCUAAUUUUUUUUGCUCUUCACCCCAACCUUGCCCAAGUGCCAGUGUAGCUCUACUUUAAGAAUAUCAAUAGAAUGUGAUUUUUCACAAGCUGCCAUAAGUAAAUGGUGGUAAGCCAGAGUUAUAAUCUGAAAAUGCAGCUAGUUUUUUGGGGGGCACAUUAGGACUCAAACUUCCUAAAACUCCUACUCCUGAGUUACCUGGAGAAAAGCUACAGCAGAUGGGCAUCCAGUGCUUGGAAGGGCUGCUUGGUCCUCAAUACAGGGCCCAGUAAAUAUAUCUUUCAAUUAAACUCCAACCUUUGAUGUAACUGGUAUCGUGGUGCCACAAGGAUUCUGUUCAAUAUAUAUUUACUGAAUACCUUCUUUGUGCAACACUCUGUGCUGGACCCUGGGCUAGCUUAAACAACCUGAUUUGAUUCAUGGUGGGCAGCAGAUAAGAAGGCAGAAUUAGUUCACCCUCAUAAUGGUCUUUUACUGCAGCAAUGGCCAAUAAACCACCGAGUUUGCAACACCAGAACCCUAAGGGCACACUUAGCUUGAAUCAGAGUGUCUCCUGGCAAUCAUAACUGAUAUUCAAUCAGAGUUCCCACUGAGUAUAGAUGUACUACUUGACUCCAUUCCAAUAAGUGCAGCAAGCUGGAGCAGAAAAACUAAUCUUUGCUGGGUCUCUCAACGCAUGAUUUUUCCUACAUUGUGCAACCCUUAUAUGCCUUUCGUCAUUCAUUCCUAUCAGAAUCUCCUAGAGUGCUUAUUUUAAUGCAGAUUCCCAGGCCCAAUGUAGAUCACUGUAUCACAUCUCUGUGAUACAGGAGGCCAUAGUGAAAACACAAAUGAACCUGUUGCCAGCCAUCCAUGAGACCACCACGGAUGCCCCACACAUCGCCAGGGUGAUUUGAGGGCCUCAAGAUGUGAGUUCCUUAGCAUGGUUGGGGGCCAGAGACGCCACAGUUUGAGCUUUGGCAUUAAUGUGCUCUUCCUUUCUGUUGCUUAUCUUAGGUAGGAACCAGUUGACAAGUGUCCUCUCCCAGCACAAGGAACUGACUCUGGGCACUGAGUAUAGAUUUUACUUAAAAAAAUGUACAAUUUUACUUACAGAAAGUUACUCAGCUGGGAUGUUUCACUUCAUCAUUAAGGUUUUCUUGUUUUCUUCCUUCCUUCCCUUCCUUCCUUCCUUCCGUCCUUCCUUCCUUCCUUCUUUCCUCCCCUCUCCCUCCCUCCCUCUCUCUUCUUUCUUUUUCUUUCUUUCUUUCUCUUUCCUUCUUCUUUUUCUUUCUUCUUUCCUUUCUUUCUUCCUUCCUCCCUCCCUCCCUGCUUGCUUGCUUUCUUUCUCUCUCUCUCUUUCUUUCUUUCUUUUUUUUGUAAGAAACAGGGGUCUCUCUCCCCAGGCUGGAGUGAAGUGGCACACAAUCAUAGCUCACUGUGGCCUCAAACUCCUGGACUCAAGAGAUCUUCAUGCAGUCUUCCCAGUAACUGGGAUUACAGGCACGUGCUACUGCACCCAGCUUUCACCGUAUAAGUUAAUUGUUAACUUCACAUAAGUUUUAAUACCUGCAAAAAUUAUGUGACUCUUCCAGAUUCCAAUCUUUUCUAAUUUGCUAAAGCAUACAGCCAUCAGAAGUCAACAUGCAGAGAAGCACUAACACGGAGUCUCUGCAUGUCUUGAUAAAUGUUGCUUUGAUGCAGAAUUCAGUUUGGGCAACUUGUGUAGAAGGAUGGUCAGAAAGUAAUUUUCUGUUUGUUGGGGUGUGUGUCUGUGUGUGUGUGUGUAUGUAUGUAUGUAUGUAUGUAUAUGUAUAUGUGUAUGUAAAGAACACAGGUUCUGCAAUUAGUCCAGUGUUGUUGUUCUGGGAAUUUAAAUGUUUUCAUUCUCAAAGCAGUUCUGCUGAGUAGAAAUUUUCACGUUACCCCAUUAUACAGACUGAAAACCUGAAGCUUGAGUAGUUUGCCCAAGGUCACAUAGCAAGGAAGAUCACAAGGCAAAGGAAGAUCUUGAACCCUCUAAAGUUCACGAUGUUUCCAUUAUGUCAUGCUUGUAAAAAACAUGAAAAGAAAUGUUUAUAAUAAAAGAUAUUAAGUGAUAAAACUUCCUUAACAAUUUUCUCCUUUGCAAUAUCAGAAACCUCCAGCAGGCUGUACCCCUGAAUCAGUUUUCUAAUUGAAGCCAUUAAACAAUGAUUU
rnacentral:lncRNA from 1 species